UUCACAGCACUCGAGUGUGGCCUCACCAGUGCCGAGUACAGGAGGACAAUCCCUGCCCUGCUCCUGCUGCCACACCAUUGCUGAUCCAGGCCAGGUGCCACUGGCCUUCCUGGCCACCUGGGCAUGGCUGGCUCAUGUUCAGUCAACCAGAACCUCCAGAUCCCUCUCUGCCAGGCAGCUUUCCAGCCACUCUUUCCCAAGACUGUAAUGUUGCAUGGGGUUGUUAUGACUCAAGUGCAGGAUCUGGCAACAUCUUCCACUACCUUGAUCUUUUUUCUAUAUUUACUGGGACUUGUGAUUUCCAUUUUAAGGACUGUAAUGCAUAGAAGUCCUAUUAUAUACAAUUUUUAGGUACCAAACCACAAACAGUAAGCACACCAUUCAUGCUGCAAUAUUUUAUUCUAGCUUUUGAUUUGGCCACUCUCCCUGAAGUAUGUGAAUAUCUAGCAAUGAUACAACACAAUAACCUGUCAGCAGUUAUUUAACUAUUGGAUGGAACAUAAACUUCCAUUGCAGCAUUUAUAGGGAGGCUGGAUAGGCUCUCUGAGGCAUGAAAGGACUAAAUGUAAAGCUCUGAAGACAUUCAGAGUGUGUGCUCACAUGUGGGUGUUUCUGGAAGAGGAAAGAAGAGAAUGUAUAAUGAUUGUGAAGGUGUAUAAUCACAGAUAUAGUAGAGCAGAAGUUCCCAGUCUCCUGUCUCUGGGCAUUUUUAUCAACAGUGGCAACACUGGUCAUCACAACCAGUAGAAGCAGGCAAAGAAGCACCCUUUUUCUUCACCCAUUGUCCCAUGCCUAGAUUUCACCAGAGAAGAUCUGUUUUGGUAUCCAGAAUUUCAAAUUUGCUGGCACAGGAGAAUUUGUAAGUGUAUCUAGUAGGUCCAAGUAGCUGCAAAUCUCCUGCAUAGUUUUUCCAGCUGGGGGGGCUGUGUAUCUGGAAGUCAGGGUGGUUUCAAACACACACCUCACACAGUUGCUGUCAAGCAGAGCUCAUGCCAUGAGGAUGCACUGGACUCAAUUACUUUCUGUCUGCUACUCAGCCAGUGGAGCCUGAACAGCAUUUUAAACAAAUUCUGGGUUCCUUGUAUAUAUAUGACUUUGAUUCAUACCUUAAUAAAUGCAGCAUGAUCAAAAAGGUCAGGCUUACUACUCACCCACACCUGCAUACGUCUGGAAAAUCCCAGACCAGCAGUGGGAGGCCACUCAGGCUCACAUGGCAUAGCUGGAAUACAGGCAGGGAUCCUGUGGGAUUUGUGGCUAGAAAGCCUCAUGCAGUGGAAGGGGGAGAGGGUGUUAGAAGUUCUUAACUAGUGGCACUUCAGAGAUGCAACGUAGGGCCUUUGCUGGAUACAUUUCCAUUGCAGCUUCUGCAGGGAAGCCCUGCAGUGGCAGUCUGAUGUUUGGAUAUGUGUAAUUACAUACCCACGCACAAGCUCAGGUAAAAGAUGGUGGGUAGGAAAAGCAGUGGCCACCUGAGGGCUGGGUGGCUUUAGAUGACUUGGAGGGAAUAAUGGGAGAGAGGGAGAAAGUGUUAGAUAAAUGAGGGCGGGAUUACUGAAUAGUGUAAUGGGCUGACUAACAAAUGAAGAGGAAGCCAUGUGUUUGGAUGAGUAAAUCUUCCAUUUCCAUUGGCUUGACUUUCAACCUGCACAGAGGCAGAUGGAAAAAUCCCUGUCUUACUGUUACCAGUCCUGACAGACACCCUGAUGGCUUUACAGGGUAGCAAGGAUGCGCUUGGGACAGUGCUUGGGACAAUGCUUGGGACACAGCACAGUGGCUUUCCCAGCUGCAAAUCACUCUGCAGGCUGGAUAAAUGCAGGACAGACAACAGUCUGAGAGAUAUUUGUUGGGUGAACACUGCAUCUAUGCAACAAAGUAAUGUAUUUGCCCAGUCUAGCUGAUGAUGGUGCUCCUGAUCUGACUUUUUUGAUUCAUUUGGAACAAAGGAGCAUUGGUACAUGCACUUCACAGUGUAUCCUGUGAAGUGACAGCAUCUGGUCAAUUUGUCUUGAUGCCUUCAGCUCCACUGUCAGGCUUGAGUCAGCCUAGGAGAUCCCAGGUAUAAUGGUAUUACAGGUAAAGCUUGGAAGAGCUACAAUUUGUGUAGAACCUUUCUUCCCUCCAGAUCUGUGGUUGGGCUAAUGAAGGGAGGUAACAAUGUGAGAGCUGACAGUGUUCUUUUUACAUCAAGUGGUAUACUCUCCUGUAACAGCAGAAUUCUUCACUGACUGUUCAUGGUUCAAGGCUCACUCAGUAGCAUGAGCUGAAUGAGAACAUUUUUUCCAAAAUUAAACUUGCCAAAGGACUUGCUUAUCAGUUUAUUGUAGUUUCAAGGCAGUUUAUUCUUGAAUGUCCACCUUUCCUUCAGUUUUUUUCUCUUUCUGAAGUGAAACAUCUUUUAAUUGCUCUUUUGGCAUUGAAGGAAGGUAAUGCAAAACUAUCAAUAAUACAAUGAUAAAAUGUUAAAUGGCAAUAUAUGCAGGGGCCCCCUUCAGUUUUCCACAUAUUUAUGACUGACUUUCUUUUAAUAGAAAACAUUUUUUUUUUCUUUCAGUGUACAGAUAUAGAAUAAAAACACUUGAAAGCAAAGAAUGAAAUUGGAUCUCAUUAAAACAUGGAGUUAGUGAAAUGGUGACAGAUGGGCCCUGCUGGGGAGGAGAAGAUCGUUGAACGAGACUGGGAUAAGUUAGUGACUCUGCAAUUAUAAAGCAUGUGGCUUUGUAAUUUCUAACCCCCAGUUCUGCAAAGUAAUCAGUGCAGUUGGGUCCAUAUGCCUGCAGGGAGGCUCAUUGAGACAGGCACGAAGAUCUGCAUAGAGGAACAGGGGACAUGCAGAUAUUCCAAAACACAGCUGCAAGGGAGCGAAUCUCUCUCUUUUCCAGCCAAAUUUUAAUCUGCCCUCUCCAGAAUGGAAGAACGCUUCACUGUGAAAUAUGAACUUGAUUUUCACGCUCUCCUGUAGUGCUCACCAGACUAGGGAUGGAAUUGUAAGAAAAACAUGACCCUUUCAAACAUUGAUUGAUCUGCCACUGUUAAAUGUUGUCCAUCGCAGUAUGCCUGUGGCAAUGGGUGACAGGUUUUUCUAAUUAUGUUUCAACGUGGACUCUGACUUGUUUUUUAUAAUGUUGAAAAUCUUUAUCUUGACUCAUUUCUGUAAUAAACUUCUGGCAACGGGAAGCUAUAAUUUAUUUACUUAGUAAUUUCUCUUCUCUAUUAUCGUAAAGAUGUCUUAGCAAUUCUAUAUUUAGGAUUGCACAAAUGGGGCAUAAAUCCUGUUUUACUUUUAAAGCAGAUUGUGCUAGGACGUCGACCAUCAAAUGUGUGAGAUUUGUGUCCAUCUGAAUGAUCAGUCUGGUUUUUAUUUCCAGGGACAACCUCAGCGAUCAAGACCCACCAUAUGCAAACCCAGACCACUAAGCAGGUGAUAUAUUUAACUUGUUGCACAGUCUCUUUCAUGCAUUUAACAAGCUCCAAUAAUUCAGGGAUGGUCUUCCCAGUGCACACCACAGGCAAGAAUUUGGUUUCAAGGCCUUGAAGCUGUGCAGCUCUUGGCUCUUUUUUCUGACCAUCCCUGGAAAACUUAUUUUCACUUUUAAGCCAAAGAACGGCACUACUGUUGCUGAUUCCAAUACACACUCAUAGAUAUCACAUUUUCCUUUACAAUCUGAUAUUUAUGCCCAUUUUGUGUCUCUGUAGAGAAGUUACCAUGAGUAAGUUCAGUUUUCAUAGCUGCAAAUUUUCUGGAGUAGUCUAAUACACUUUCAUGGUUCCCAAAUUUCUUUUUGAUGUGCAAGUCCUUUCAUGCCUUAGGGAAGCAGAGAAGAGAGCAUGGAAGUACUUGAAACAUUAAUAAAUAGGUGCUGGAGGCUGAUAUUAUGGGCCAACUGGGUGUAGGAGGAGCUGGUGUCUUAGUGAUGAAUCAGAAAUGCUAGGAGAGGGGGAAGGCAUGUCAGGAAAGAUUGGGAAGAUGCAAAGCUUGAAGUGACACAGCAAGGACAGUCACUCACAAAGAAAAUGCCUAUCCAGAAGCACUCUGAAUGGACAUGAAAAGUGCAAUAUUGCCUUUUUCAGAACCAGAGACAAUGAAGCGUGAUAAUACCUACAUGGAAUAGUUUGGCUGAGGUGAAGUUCAUAUCUUUGAUAUGUUACACAGAAAAAACUCAGCAAGGUGUGAGACAGAAUUUGGAUGUGAGGACAGAGAGAAUUCAGAGCAGAAGACUUUGCACGUGGUAUAGGUCUAAAUUAGGAGAAGAGUGUGUUCUUAUUUUGAUUGAAAAUGGAAGGAGGACAAUGAAAUUGGGACAGUAAUAGUCAUCCUGCUAUAGCCACAUUAAGGAUGAAAAAGGCUAGUCUUCUUUGUAAAGUUAUAGGGUAAGGGUUGCUUGGAACAAAAGGGGAUCUGAAUUGCAAAGGUCAAUUUGUGAUUAUUACUUUAAUAGAAACAAUAGUAAAGUGUAUGUUUGCAUACAUCCAGCAACACAGGGAGGAGGAAUAGAGAGCAGGGCAAUGGGCCAAAGACCAAAGGUUUGUGGCAAAGCCUGGCUGAGGGCAAAGUCUUUUUCAGAUGGGCUGUGAUUGGAGGGAGAGGUAGAAAAACAUAAAGACAGUCACAGGAGCCACUAGUGAGUCUAGAGACUAGAUUUCAUAAAGAAUGUGCUCUUGGGACCACAGUCACCAUUGAGUCCAAGAGAACAUGAAUGCUAUUUCAAGCUACAUUGGAUUUUACAUGAAACCUGUAAAGGCUGGACAGUUUUGGAGAGAAAACUGAAGAAGAGGCUUCACAAAUAAUGAAUCCAGACUGUGUGCCCAUGUUCUGAUCCUAGAAAGGAUCACUGCAGUUUCAAGAAGAAAGAAAUAGUACAUUGAUAUGGAUCUGUACUUCUACAAGACUUACUUUGUGUACCUUUGAAAAAAAUGUGAACUGCCCUAAUAGCUUUCCAGAAAUGUUGGCUUGUGGAAAUACAGUGACUUUAGUACUGAUGAUCAAGCACUUUUGGACCUCAAGUUCCCAGUUACAUUAGCAAUUGAUCAAAGUCAAGGCAGUGAGUACAGGAAAUUCCUGGUUCUUGUGAAAACCUUUAUGUUUCAGCUCAGGACACUUCCAGGAGUGUUCUGGGUGUUUGUGAUAAAACACUAAUAGAUGCAAAAUCUAUAUGGUGUAGCACAGGCUCACAAAACCCAACUAAUUCAAUAUAGUUUUAGAUUUAAUGUUGUUCAGCUACAGAGUAACACUACUGCAGCGUGGAAAAUCACUGGCAAACUUACAGGGAUAUGCAUAUUACCCAGUAUGACAGAACCAAAGGAUGAAAAAUUACUAUUA